UACAGAGGGGGCAAGCGUUGUUCGGAAUUACUGGGCGUAAAGGGCGCGUAGGCGGCCUGUUAAGUCGAACGUGAAAUCCCCGGGCUCAACCCGGGAACUGCGUCCGAUACUGGCAGGCUUGAAUCCGGGAGAGGGAUGCGGAAUUCCAGGUGUAGCGGUGAAAUGCGUAGAGAUCGGGAAGAACAUCGGUGGCGAAGGCGCUCUACUGGACCACAACUGACACUCAGGGACGAAAGCUAGGGGAGCGAAUGGG
rnacentral:rRNA from 1 species